CGCCAACACUGGGACUGAGAUACUGCCCAGACUCCUACGGGAGGCUGCAGUCGAGAAUCUUUCGCAAUGGACGAAAGUCUGACGAAGCGACGCUGUGUGAGCGAUGAAGGCCUUCGGGUUGUAAAGCUCUUUCGCAUAGGAACAAGAGAGAGCGGUGAAUAGCCGUUCGAUUUGAGGGUACUAUGUAAAGAAGCACCGGCUAACUCCC
rnacentral:rRNA from 1 species